GCCCCCAUCGUCUAGUGGACUAGGACGCGGCCCUUUCAAGGCCACGACCGGGGUUCGAAUCCCCGUGGGGGCAC
rnacentral:tRNA from 2 species